UCGGCAAAUGUCCCAGCUGUUCCCCACCAUAGAGACACCAUUCAGGAGACCCAAGUGGCUCUCCGCUGAGAGUUCCUGUGGGAGAACUCAAUUCCUCUUAAAGUGUUAGUACAUCAUUUCACAGCACUAGACCAAGCUCCACCACAGAAGAGGUGGCCAGGGGCUGAGAGGCGGAGAGCUGAAGUUUCAUGAAAGACUUUGCUUUGGUGUGACUUACUAGGCCUCCCAGCCACUCAGGAUCUCAGCAAUCUGCAGAGAUCAUCUGCCAAGCAACAGGAGCAGGUCGGCAGAGGCAAACCUUCAAAUCCACUAUGGGAAGAAAAAAAAAAAAGGCACAUGAAUCCUCAUCAGAAAAGAAAAGUGACUUACCAUCUAAAAGAUCAAAUAAGGCUCUGGAUGAUUGCAGCAAUGCUGUAGAGAACCUUGACCGAGGAAGUGCUCCAUAGCCAAUCUCCAUCACAGAGAGGCUCCACUGCAGAGUCCCAGAAUUCUUAAACUACCAACCUUGAGAUGGCAUUUGUUUUCAUUUUUGUACUCAAUAGAGCAUAGCCUCACAUUCAUCCUUUCUCUUUUGGGAUGAGUGUGGAAUACAUAAGUUGUGAAACAUCUUCUCUUUCAUUCUAUUUGAUAAGCAUGUAUUGGGCACCUCUACGUGCCAGGCAUUCAAUAGGGAGAGGAGACCCAGAUGGGCAACAUUCAGCUUCGUGUGCAGGGCACUUUUAGUUGGUGCAAAUGAAAGAUAAGACCCCUGUAAAUAAAUAGAAAGCAGAUUUUAGCUGAUCUGGCUUUAAAUGAGUUUCGGGCAUUUGGUUUUGAUGAUUAAAAUCUAAUACAUCUCAC